ACGGGGUGCAGCAGGCGCGAAAACUUUACAAUGCGGGAAACCGUGAUAAGGGAAUCUCGAGUGCCAGCAUAUAAUGUUGGCUGUCCAGAUGCCUAAAAAGCAUCUGUUAGCAAGGGCCGGGCAAGACCGGUGCCAGCCGCCGCGGUAACACCGGCGGCCCGAGUGGUAACCGCUAUUAUUGGGUCUAAAGGGUCUGUAGCCGGCCAGGUAAGUCCCUUGGGAAAUCUGGCAGCUCAACUGUCAGGCUGCUAGGGGAUACUGUUUGGCUUGGGACCGGGAGAGGUGAGAGGUACCUUGGGGG
rnacentral:rRNA from 1 species